GACGAACGCUGGCGGCGUGCUUAACACAUGCAAGUCGAACGGAAAGGCCCUGCUUUUGUGGGGUGCUCGAGUGGCGAACGGGUGAGUAACACGUGAGUAACCUGCCCUUGACUUUGGGAUAACUUCAGGAAACUGGGGCUAAUACCGGAUAGGAGCUCCUGCUGCAUGGUGGGGGUUGGAAAGUUUCGGCGGUUGGGGAUGGACUCGCGGCUUAUCAGCUUGUUGGUGGGGUAGUGGCUUACCAAGGCUUUGACGGGUAGCCGGCCUGAGAGGGUGACCGGCCACAGUGGGACUGAGAGACGGCCCAGACUCCUACGGGAGGCAGCAGUGGGGAAGAUUGCACAAGGGGCGGAAGCCUGAUGCAGCAACGCCGCGUGCGGGAUGACGGCCUUCGGGUUGUAAACCGCUUUCGCCUGUGACGAAGCGUGAGUGACGGUAAUGGGUAAAGAAGCACCGGCUAACUACGUG
rnacentral:rRNA from 1 species